rnacentral:rRNA from 1 species
UGAGUAACGCGUAUGCAACCUGCCUGCCACAGCCGGAUAAUCGGGAGAAAUUCCGUCUAAUACGGCAUAAUGCAUCGACGGGACAUCCUGUUGGUGCCAAAGGUUGAUUCCGGUGGCGGAUGGGCAUGCGUCGCAUUAGUUAGUUGGCGGUGUAACGGACCACCAAGACGACGAUGCGUAGGGGUUCUGAGAGGAAGGUCCCCCACACUGGUACUGAGACACGGACCAGACUCCUACGGGAGGCAGCAG